GGCCAGACUCCUACGGGAGGCAGCAGUGGGGAAUAUUGCACAAUGGGGGAAACCCUGAUGCGGCGACGCCGCGUGAGUGAAGAAGUAUUUCGGUAUGUAAAGCUCUAUCAGCAGGGAAGAAAAUGACGGUACCUGACUAAGAAGCCCCGGCUAACUACGUGCCAGCAGCCGCGGUAAUACGUAGGGGGCAAGCGUUAUCCGGAUUUACUGGGUGUAAAGGGAGCGUAGACGGCAGAGCAAGUCUGAAGUGAAAGCCCGCGGCCCAACUGCGGGACUGCUUUGGAAACUGCCCGGCUAGAGUGCUGGAGAGGUAAGCGGAAUUCCUAGUGUAGCGGUGAAAUGCGUAGAUAUCAGGAGGAACACCGGCGGCGAAGGCGGCCUGCUGGACCGUGACUGACGUUGAGGCUCGAGAGCGUGGGGAGCAAACAGGAUUAGAUACCCCUGUAAC
rnacentral:rRNA from 1 species